AUUGAACUUUGGGUAACAGUAAUGUAAUUCUAAUUUCCGACGGUAAAUCACGGAAGAAAGUUUGAUAGCAGCUGGGCCCGUAUCCUCGAGAGCUAUUAACUUUUACUCUUAAAGUUACUAUCAAAGUUAAUAGUUUCAAAUUAUUAAGAGUAAAAGCUAUCCUCGUCAACUUUGAGUGUAGGUAUUAGCAAAUCCUGGCUACUAUUAUCUUCUUCUUCUUCUUCUUUAUGGCGGGCUCGUUGCUAAGGACGCCUCCGUGCAAAACGUAAACAUCCGACAUGAAUUAAGUAUAUAUUUCAAAAGAAUAAUAAAGAAAAGAUGUAUAAAUGUACAACAGAAACAUAAUAAAUGGCAAACACAAGAAAAUACUGAGUUUUGUGGCAGAUAGAAGCAGCCUCAAAGGCUGUUUUUACUCCGUCACUCGUCAAUGCCCGUAUCUCCCCGCCUGCGUCACGACUUGCUCUGCUGAAAUUACCGCACCAUAACCACGUCAUCUGCCCCAAUGAUCUACGGGCCGGAGAACCAGCGCAGAAAAGGAGUAAGUUUAAUUGGUCGCCAGAUGAAACGGUCUUCUUACAUCAAAUUCAUGAAAAAAUACGUAUAAUCAGAGGGUGUUAUGGGAAGAGUAUCACCCCUGAGGAUAAGAAGAGAGCGUGGACUGAAGUGGCAGAAGCUGUAACAAGUGCCUUCCCUGGGAGUGGACCCCGUACACAGGAUGACUGUGAGAGGCGUUGGUACAACGUACAACAAAAAUCAAAGCCUUGCAUUGCCAAGUGCAAGAAUGAGCAGCGGCAGACUGGUAAUUUUUUUUAGUUGUUAUGUCUUUAAAUGUAAAACUUAUAUUAGUUAGUUUUUUUAUGUGCUCACAGAAUGCAGCUAUACUGGCCACAAUGCCUUUAUUUCAGCUUAAAGUUAAUAAGUUCAUAGCAGUGAACUGCAUAUUUGAUAUAGAAAUUUUUUUAAUGUUUAUCUGUCAAUGACUAUCAAUCUAUCUAAAUACCUUGGUUGUCUUCCCCCAGUGAAGGGUUUUAGCCAAGACAGGCACACACUUACUCACACACUCACACUCAUGUACACCACUCUCUCAGCUGCACAGCCCCUGAGGGAGUAAAAAAGGCCCUCACUGUAUGGGGGAUUAGUUGCACAGUUCAGACAGGGAACUUCCACACCAAGGCCUCGCAGCAUACACUGGUUUACCCCUGCCCCUUCAUAACAAUGACAAUUCCCCCAACACCUGAGUGCCCCAUACGUGUGGCACCACAGAUACGCAGGCGCCUGCCUAUAUAACUAUGACAUUAACUGUGGUAGAUAAACUGGUGUACGACAUCAUAGGCUGCUCGUCUCAUGUAUUUGAAGGGGUACCAGAGCCACUCAGCAUUGACAUGAUGUGCUAGGGAUAGGACAGCAGCAACAGUCAAGCAGCAGUGAAAUAUUGACUGGCCUGUAUGUUUUUGGCAAAAACUUUUAUAUUCUCAUUAAAACAAUUUAUUAAUCACCCUUAAAUUCAUAUUCUUUGUAGAUACACACUUUAUUAGUAUUGCUAGAGACCAUCCCAGCACAUUGUUCAUUACUUGUGGAAAAGAUACCAUUAGCUGCUCCGGCAACAGCCACUGCUUCAAUAUCUGCUGGCCCUAUGACACCAGCCACUGCUCAUCAUCUGCUGGCCAAUGACACCUGCCACUGCUUCAUCAUCUGCUGGCCCUAUGACACCAGCCACUGCUUCAUCAUCUGCUGGCCUAAUGACACCUGCCACUGCAAGGGAUGACAAUGAAGCUGCUCCACCACAGUCACCACCUACUUCAUCGGAGUUAAGAGAUGCCUUUCAUAGGGCAGCAGUAUAAUUUUUUGAUGCUGGGGCUGAAUAUUACUGCCUCAAGGCUAUGAUUUUCACUUUUUUUUUUUAUUACUGAGGUUAGGGUGGAAGGGGUGAAAAAUAAUCUGUGCUGUUUUUCGACAGAAAUGGUUAGCAAAUUCAUUCAAAGCACAAAAUUUACCAGAAAAAAAAUUGUGUGCCAUUGUGAGUGGGUUCACUUGAGAUUGGGCUCCAAUACACCUCCGUGGUCUAGUGGUCAGCAUGCCUGGCUUCUACACGGGCCCAGGUUCGAAUCCCGGCCCGGGCAGUCGGCGUGCAGCUCACCCAGCUGAUCAUCCUCCCUCUCGGGCUGGUCGAUAAAUGACUACCUGGGGAAACUGUGGUAACCCGGAUGUCAAACUGGCCCUGUGUCCCAAGGUAAUGGGCUCCCUCCCACCACAGGCUCAAGGGCCAAUGUCACAGAGAUGAGCAUUAGCUUAUAACACCUUUAGGCACCGAUCAUAUUUGCAUUUUAUGUAGUCUGUGAUGCAGGCAGGAUAUUCAUUAGCACCUAAUUAGACUCAUGCUGCUCUCCAGUGCUCUCUGAUGAACUCACAAUCAAAGAUGUAGUAUACCUAUAUGGUAGCAUUGAGUAAUCUUAGGUCACUUGGUAAAGUGUUCACCUAAGUCCGACCCAAGCUGACAACAUAAACCUAAGCGUGUUUGCAAGCUGAGUGUUUAGAAUAUUGGCAUAAUAAUAAAAGAUGCUGAAAACUGGA